GUAGAGUUCCAUUGGUAAAGGAAAAAGGCUCAGCCAGUCGAUGUUUAGUGUGGCAGUAUGCUCCUUAUACGAUGACUGUGAAGCCAAACAAUUUAAGGAUAAUUGUGUACUUCUCCCAUCAACUGUCUACAGGACGAUUGCCAAAUUGAUAGGUGGAUUGUGGAUUACCUUGUGAGACACACGUUCAAAUUAGGCCACAGACAUCAAGUGCAACAGUGGAUACCUACUAU